CGGGUUCCUCCAGGCCAGCGCUGGUGGUUGAGUGAUGUAAUCACGUGGGGUCUGAAGUCUUCGUGGGUGUAGGUUUCUUCGUUAUGCUGACGACAGGCAGUGCCCGAACUCUAGGCUGGGAGUUGUGCCAUGCUGCUGCUUUCGUGGGCUGACCAGAAAAGGGUAGAAGGAUUGACGUUUACGAAGUUUUUGAAUCAGGAGGCAAGGUCGCCUUGUGCCCCCAAAAGGAUAGAAAAAGGCCUGGCAAACUGGAGAAUCGCGUCCUUACGGCUGCAGUCCGUUUCUCCCUCAUGGUGGAAGACGCGUGGGGAAACUUGGGAGUUGUGGGAGUUAAAGGAAGCAUAUCCUGUGUUUUCCAGUUGAAAGCUUGUGAAAAU
rnacentral:lncRNA from 10 species